UGGGGAAUAUUGCACAAUGGGCGAAAGCCUGAUGCAGCGAUGCCGCGUGGGGGAAGAAGGUUUUCGGAUUGUAAACCCCUGUCGCACGGGACGAAGAUGACGGUACCGUGUGAGGAAGCUCCGGCUAACUACGUGCCAGCAGCCGCGGUAAUACGUAGGGAGCAAGCGUUGUCCGGAAUUACUGGGUGUAAAGGGAGUGUAGGCGGUAUUGUAAGUCAGGUGUGAAAUCUGAGGGCUCAACUCUCAGACUGCACUUGAAACUAUAGUACUUGAGUGAAGUAGAGGCAGGCGGAAUUCCCUGUGUAGCGGUGAAAUGCGUAGAUAUAGGGAGGAACAUCAGUGGCGAAGGCGGCCUGCUGGGCUUUUACUGACGCUGAGGCUCGAAAGCGUGGGGAGCAAACA
rnacentral:rRNA from 1 species